CAGGAUCACACACUCUUUUAUACAUGUCAGAUCCAGGUCUUUGAACAACCUUUUUUUGUAAAUAAUGAGAAAGAAAAAGAAAAAAAAAAAAAAUAGGAAAAAAGAAAAAAAAAAGGAAAAAAAAACCAACAACAAAAAAAUCCCCCGAAAGCUCCUCACCAAAUUCAAGCGUGUACAUUCGUACUCUUGGUUGUUGUUUGAGUUUUGAGUUUUAUUGUUUUGUAUGUAAAUAUGUGGACCCAGGAACUGUUAUUAAUGAGCAAAAAGUUACCGUUCAGGGCAGUGAUUCUGUUUAAUAAUCAGACAAAAUUCACUUUUUGUUUUCUUGAGAUAAGUUUAACAUGACUCUUGAUUUCUUGUGCCCAGCACGAAGGCCUUGUUUCUAAAACUAGUUUGCUUGUGUUUUACUACCUUGUUAGUAUUCCACAUAAGAUUGUCUUGAAUGGGAAAACACUUAACUCUUUACCAAACCAAAGGUUGCUGUUUUAUUUCGAAGCAUCUCGUGUUCAUUCCAGUGAAGCAGAGGCUGCACUUUCUUUCUGGUGACACGAAGGUCAGUGAUGCCAAGCUGUUGGUGACAGUCUGCUCAGAGCUGUCCCUCUCUUCUGUUACUCUCUUUCGGGCUUGUUUUUUAACCCAGUCUGGUCUUGAUCUGCCCUUUACAUCAGCCUUGCUGUGGCGUGGGUCUCUGAGCCGGACUCGAUCGCAGUCCGUCUGCCCCAGUGGACGCCUGAUCGAGACGCUGGUGUUCUUUAAUCUUACAUUUACCUACCUUGCUAGGGAAAGGAAAAAAACAAAA
rnacentral:lncRNA from 1 species